AUUGAACGCUGGCGGAAUGCUUUACACAUGCAAGUCGAACGGCAGCACGGGGCAACCUGGUGGCGAGUGGCGAACGGGUGAGUAAUACAUCGGAACGUGCCCAAUCGUGGGGGAUAACGUAGCGAAAGUUACGCUAAUACCGCAUACGAUCUACGGAUGAAAGCGGGGGAUCGCAAGACCUCGCGCGAGUGGAGCGGCCGAUGUCAGAUUAGGUAGUUGGUGGGGUAAAGGCUCACCAAGCCAACGAUCUGUAGCUGGUCUGAGAGGACGACCAGCCACACUGGAACUGAGACACGGUCCAGACUCCUACGGGAGGCAGCAGUGGGGAAUUUGGACAAUGGGCGCAAGCCUGAUCCAGCCAUUCCGCGUGCAGGAUGAAGGCCUUCGGGUUGUAAACUGCUUUUGUACGGAACGAAACGGCUCUCUCUAAUACAGGGGCUAAUGACGGUACCGUAAGAAUAAGCACCGGCUAACUACGUGCCAGCCGCCGCGGUAAAACCCACGAACG
rnacentral:rRNA from 1 species